rnacentral:rRNA from 1 species
GACAGUUCGGUCCCUAUCCGUCGCAGGCGUAGGAAAUUUGAGAAGACCUGUCCUUAGUACGAGAGGACCGGGAUGGACGUACCUCUGGUGUACCAGUUGUCCUGCCAAGGGCAUAGCUGGGUAGCUAUGUACGGAAUGGAUAAGCGCUGAAAGCAUCUAAGCGCGAAGCCAACUUCAAGAUAAGAUUUCCCACCGCAAGGGUAAGACCCCAGAAAGACUAUCUGGUUGAUAGGUCGAAGGUG